rnacentral:rRNA from 1 species
CAGUCGCCGCGGGAAUACGGAGGGGGCUAGCGUUGUUCGGAAUUACUGGGCGUAAAGCGCACGUAGGCGGCUUGGUAAGUUAGAGGUGAAAGCCCGGAGCUCAACUCCGGAAUUGCCUUUAAGACUGCCGAGCUAGUAGGUGAGAGAGGUAAGUGGAAUUCCGAGUGUAGAGGUGAAAUUCGUAGAUAUUCGGAAGAACACCAGUGGCGAAGGCGGCUUACUGGCUCAUUCUAGACGCUGAGGUGCGAAAGCGUGGGGAGCAAACAGGAUUAGAGACCCCCGUAGUCCCUGUCUCUUAUAC